UGUUAUCCAUGGUUUAUUGUUUUGGCACCUCUGGGAAACAUCUAUGAAGCACAAUGAAUAUAAAUCCUGCGGCAUUUUGACAGUAUCUAAAGAUUUAUGGAGAAGUUAAGAGAAAACAGAACCACUUUAUAUGUGGAAAGGAUAGGAAAAUUAUUGAUUUCAAAAAAUGCUUAGACUGGUUUCUGUCUGGUAAAAUAAUGUGAGCAUAAGUUUAACUUCAGGUCUAUGGAAUAGUGCCAGUAUCCUGAAAAAAGUAAGGGUUUUUAAAGCAGCUUCACUGAAAUUACUGUUGGUAUUGGGAACAAUUUUAAUUUCCCAAGUCACUGUUAAACAAAUAGAGAAUGCUUUUGAAAAUCCUGCCUGCAGUUCACGUUGUUUCAGAUAUGUCAACAGUCAUGACAAAGACUGUGUUCAAGGAAAUAUUUUUGGUAUCAGAACAGCAUGAACUGCUAAAACACAGAGAUGCCUGAUUACACCUAUGAAUCUCUUUGGCACAGAGAACUCAAAGCUAAAAUACCACAUACUAGAGUUUUAAUAUGUCUUGUAAAGACACUCUGUACUUCUUCCUAGGUCCUGUAAAUAUGCCACUAUCAAGGUGAUUCCCAGAGUAUGGAAGUGAGUGAUCUCAAUCCUUACAAACUCUGUUCGACACACUUGAAUCCUAGAAGAUACUGAAGAUAAGCAAGAGGAAAAACUAAGGAUUUGGGGUUGAAUGUGCAUAGAAGUACAUGCAUUCAAGUCCUGGGAUAACAACAACUCCAAACAUCAUGAGAGCAGCAGUUUGGAGACACAGGACAGAUGCUUCUCUGGAAAGAGGCCAUCAGCUGAACUAAAAAGAUGACAGCUUGAGACGCGGUGAGGCUCCUAGAGCUGCCCUACAAGCAAGGACAUGUCUGCCUCGUUGUGUGGCCAUGGAGAGUACUUGGAUAUCUCACUACAAGCCCAAACAAAGCUGGAUGGCUCUGGCUUACCAUUAAAGUUGGAGAGGGAGAAACGAUAGAAGUUGAGUAUUUUUUUACUCCUUUUACAACAAAACUUUUCCUUUGAGACUCUUGAUCACCUCUGUAGUUUGUAGCAGACAGCAUUGUCCUUCCACAAUUAAAGUAAUUAAUUUCAGAGGGCUAUGAAGGUACAACAGAUAGGCAACUAUUUAUUCUCCUUUCAGUGUCUUUCUAAAAGUUGGACUCCCUUCUGGAAGAAAGCAGUAGGGAGGAAGGGAGAUAUUUAAGUGGAAUGGGGAUUCUAAAGGCUUUUUAUGUUCAUUGUAACCUGAAUCUCUUCAGAUUAAAUAAAAUAACUAGUAAAGCUGCA
rnacentral:lncRNA from 1 species